rnacentral:rRNA from 1 species
CCUUGAUUGGGGGCGAAAUCCUAACGCAUCAACCAUAUGCUUGCGGGGCGUCGGCGGAUGUUACUGUGAACAAACCAGCGUGUCCAAGGCAGGCGUUUCGCCCUGCAUGAUUGAGCAUGGAAUGACAAGGGAUCGACUCAGACGAUUCUUUUUGUUGGUUUUUAACCCGUCAAGAGAGAAUUGAGGGCGCAGGGUCUCGUGGAGGUUUCCCAGUCCUUUGGUCUGGCCCUCCUCUGGCCUGUGUUCUAUCGGGAUCAAUAGGGACUGCCGGGGUGGUACGUAUUUCCACGUCAGAGGUGAAAUUCUUAGAUCGUGGAAGGACGAACUUCUGCGAAAGCAUUCCACAAGAAUGUCUUCAUUAAUCAAGAACGAGAGUGUGGGGAGCGAAGAUGAUCAGAUACCGUCGUAGUCCACGACUGUAAACAAUGCCGUCUCAGGAUGGAGAGUUGUUACCUAAUGUCUCUCACCGCACUAACCGAUAUGAAACGAGAAAUCAAAGAUUAUGGGUUCAGGGGGGAGUACAUUCGCAAGGCUGAAACUUAAAGGAAUUGACGGAAUGACACCACCAGACGU